rnacentral:sRNA from 1 species
GCCAGGUGUGGUGACACACACCUGUAAUCCCAGCGACUAGGGAGGCUGAGGCAGGAGAAUGGCAAAGUCAAAGCCAGCCUCAG